CGGAGCGACUGCGGGGCUGAGGGGCUGGCGGGCCGGCGGGCCGAGAGGCACCGCCGAGGCCGGGCUGGGCCAAGCCCAGGAGCGCCGGGGAUGUAGCGGGCCACCCUGCCCAUGCCACAGCGCCCGGCCGCAGGCGGAGCUGGGGCCGGAGCCUGGGGAGGCGGCGGGGCCCCUGAGCGCUGCCCUCGCCCCCCGCGCGGAGCCAGGCCCGCUGCUGUCUCCGCCGCCCGGGCCCCCGGCAUGCAGCUCCGGCUGCGGAGGUGACACUGCCGGGCUGGAGUCGCCGCCGCCGCCAUCGCCACCAUGGACGAGCAGGAGGCAUUGAACUCUAUCAUGAAGGAUCUGGUGGCCCUCCAGAUGAGCCGACGUCUCCGGGUGCCUGGAUGUGAGACCAUGAAGAACAAGGACACGGAUCACCCAAAUAGGGAGAAAAAAAACAACAGCAGCAGCUCAGCCCUUCUGAACAGCCCCACAGUAACCACAAGCUCAUGUGCAGGGGCCAGUGAGAAAAAGAAAUUUUUGAGUGACGUCAGAAUCAAGUUUGAGCACAACGGGGAAGGGCGAAUUAUAGCAUUCACCUGGCCUGUGAGAUAUUAAGAUGUGGAGCACAAGGUGACAACGGUGUUUGGGCAACCUCUUGAUCUACAUUAUAUGAACAACGAGCUCUCCAUCUUGCUGAAAAACCAAGAUGACCUUCAUAAAGCAAUUGACAUUUUGGAUAGAAGCUCAAACAUGAAAAGCCUUACAAUAUUGCUGCUGUCCCAGGACAGAAAACAUAACAGUUCCUCUCCCCACUCUGGGGCAUCCCGGCAAGUGCGAAUCAAGGCUUCCCAGUCCGCAGGGGGUAUAAAUACCAUCUACCAGCCCCCUGAGCCCAGAAGUAGGCACCUCUCUGUCAGCUCCCAGAACCCUGGCCGAAGCUCACCUCCCCCUGGCUAUGUCCCUGAGCGGCAGCAGCACAUUGCCUGGCAGGGAUCUUACACCAGCAUCAAUAGCGAAGGGGAGUUCAUCCCAGAGACCAGCGAGCAGUGCAUGCUGGAUCCCCUGAGCAGUGCAGAAAAUUCCUUGUCUGGAAGCUGUCAGUCCUUGGACAGGUCAGCAGACAGCCCUUCCUUCCGGAAAUCACGAAUGUCCGGAGCCCAGAGCUUCCCUGACAACAGACAGGAGUACUCAGAUCGGGAAACUCAGCUAUAUGACAAAGGGGUCAAAGGCGGAACUUACCCCCGGCGCUACCAUGUGUCUGUGCACCACAAGGACUACAAUGAUGGCAGAAGAACAUUUCCUCGAAUACGGCGUCAUCAAGGCAACCUGUUCACCCUGGUGCCUUCUAGUCGCUCCCUGAGCACAAAUGGCGAGAACAUGGGUCUAGCUGUGCACUACCUGGACCCCCGUGGUCGCCUACGGAGUGCAGACAGCGAGAACGCCCUGCCUGUGCAGGAGAGGAGUGUGCCAACCAAGUCUCCUAGUGCCCCCAUCAAUUGGCGCCGGGGAAAGCUUCUGGGCCAGGGUGCCUUCGGCAGGGUCUGUUUAUGCUAUGAUGUGACACAGGACGAGAACUUGCUUCCACACAGAUCCAGUUUGACCCAGAUAGUCCUGAGACAAGCAAGGAGGUGAGUGCUCUGGAAUGUGAGCUCCAGCUGCUGAAGAACUUGCAGCACGAGCGCGUCGUGCAGUUCUACGGCUGUCUGCGGGACCGUGCUGAGAAGACGCUGACCGUCUUCAUGGAGUACAUGCCGGGGGCUCGGUGAAGAACCAGUUGAAGGCCUACGGAGCCCUGACAGAGAGUGUGACCCGGAAGUACACCAGGCAGAUCCUGGAGGGCCUGUCCUACCUGCACAGCAACGUGAUUGUUCACCGAGACAUCAAGGGAGCCUGGGCUGUACUGUGGUAGAGAUGCUGACAGAGGAACCACCUUGGGCAGAAUAUGAAGCUAUGGCCGCCAUUUUCAAGAUCACCACUCAGCCCACCAAUCCUCUGCUGCCUUCCCACAUCUCUGAACUCGGCCGGGACUUACUGAGAUGGAUUUUUGUGGAGGCUCAUGUACUGAGCUCUCAAGGCCACACUCUUGCUGGCCGCCCUUCACCACAUAAGCAAGGGGCUGCUGUGGGGCUCAGCAAGUUGCUGCUUCUCCAGUCAAGGCUGUGGGCCAUGGAGCUGCAGCCCUGCCAGCGUUUGUCUGCGCACCUUUUGUCACUGGACUUAGAGCUAGGUUGGGGUGGCAGCAGCCUCAAGGACUGGGGGUCCCCAGCCUGCCAGACCAAGAGCUCCCAACAUUCUGAGCCCCGCGUGGAGGGAAGGAGGCACAAACAGUACGCUCAGCGGCUGUGUCCUGACACUGUAAUCUGCACCGAUGCCAGAGGGUCUGGGGCCACAAGACUUGUGCCAGGGUAUGAAUAG